rnacentral:rRNA from 1 species
AUUGAACGCUGGCGGCAUGCCUUACACAUGCAAGUCGAACGGUAACAGGUUAAGCUGACGAGUGGCGAACGGGUGAGUAAUAUAUCGGAACGUGCCCAGUCGUGGGGGAUAACGUAGCGAAAGCAACGCUAAUACCGCAUACGAUCUACGGAUGAAAGCGGGGGAUCGCAAGACCUCGCGCGAUUGGAGCGGCCGAUAUCAGAGUAGGUUGUUGGUGAGGUAAAAGCUCACCAAGCCUGCGAUCUGUAGCUGGUCUGAGAGGACGACCAGCCACACUGGAACUGAGACACGGUCCAGACUCCUACGGGAGGCAGCAGUGGGGAAUUUUGGACAAUGGACGCAAGUCUGAUCCAGCAAUGCCGCGUGCAGGACGAAGGCCUUCGGGUUGUAAACUGCUUUUGUACGGAACGAAACGGUGAGCUCUAAUACAGUUUGCUAAUGACGGUACCGUAAGAAUAAGCACCGGCUAACUACGUGCCAGCAGCCGCCGUAA